rnacentral:snRNA from 1 species
AUGCUUGCUUCAGCAGCACAUAUUCUAAAAUUGGAACAAUACAAAGAUUAGCAUGGUACCUUGCAAAGAUAACAUAUAAAUUCAUUAAAUAUUCCAUAUUUUA